GACGAACGCUGGCGGCGUGCUUAACACAUGCAAGUCGAACGGUAAGGCCCUUCGGGGUACACGAGUGGCGAACGGGUGAGUAACACGUGGGUGAUCUGCCCUGCACUUCGGGAUAGGCCUGGGAAACUGAGUCUAAUACCGGAUAGGACUCCGGACUGCAUGGUCUGGGGUGGAAAGUUUUUGCGGUGUGGGAUGGGCCCGCGGCCUAUCAGCUCGUUGGUGGGGUGAUGGCCUACCAAGGCGACGACGGGUAGCCGGCCUGAGAGGGUGACCGGCCACACUGGGACUGAGAUACGGCCCAGACUCCUACGGGAGGCAGCAGUGGGGAAUAUUGCACAAUGGGCGCAAGCCUGAUGCAGCGACUCCGCGUGAGGGAUGACGGCCUUCGGGUUGUAAACCUCUUUCAGCAUCGACGAAGCGAAAGUGACGGUAGGUGCAGAAGAAGGACCGGCCAACUACGUGCCAGCCGCCGCAGUAA
rnacentral:rRNA from 1 species